AUGGCCGUGAGAGGAAAACUCAACAACGGCACAGCACAAGGGCAUGAACAGGCAGCACUGCGGCAAGGCGUCCAGGACCUCGAUAAGAGAGACGCUGCCGCUGCGCCUUUUCCCAACCAAACACAUCCGAACUGGGUUCUCGCUGGUUUAGCAACGCUGCCGCUGAUCACAGUUCAUGAAAUUGCACGACCACAAUCCAGAAGCACUCUUAGCUACAACUUCAUGCUACAGGCUUGUAUACAAACAAGCCCCCUAGGCUUGCACGGAGACAGAGACGUGAAAAUUUCAGUCACAUGUUUCAUCCGCAAACAACAUCAGUACUAA
rnacentral:rRNA from 1 species